rnacentral:tmRNA from 1 species
GGGGGCGAUCGGUUUCGACGGGGUUAGUUGAUACCGUGGCCGCAGGCCGAGCACCCAAUGUCUCGUUAAUCCACUGGGACCUAAACACAAAAGCAGACUCAUACGAGUACGCUCUGGCUGCAUAGCCAGCGUCCCUGACGGUAUGCGGCCCACAGACCGUCAGGGGCGUGGUUAAACGGGCUGGCCGAGGGGGCGGGGCGUCCUGGACCCCUCGGUGAGAAUUACAGGGCGAUGAUUUCGGGGCAGCCUUUCCGGCGGCGUCCCCGGGAUGACAACAAAUGACGGAAUAAGCCUGUAGACGUUACGGGGGAAGGACUUCGGACGCGGGUUCGAUUCCCGCCGCCUCCACCA